GAUGAACGCUGGCGGCGUGCUUAACACAUGCAAGUCAAACGAUGAAGCCCAGCUUGCUGGGUGGAUUAGUGGCGAACGGGUGAGUAACACGUGAGUAACCUGCCCUUGACUCUGGGAUAAGCCUGGGAAACUGGGUCUAAUACUGGAUAUGACUUCUCAUCGCAUGGUGGGGGGUGGAAAGAUUUAUUGGUCUUGGAUGGACUCGCGGCCUAUCAGCUUGUUGGUGAGGUAAUGGCUCACCAAGGCGACGACGGGUAGCCGGCCUGAGAGGGUGACCGGCCACACUGGGACUGAGACACGGCCCAGACUCCUACGGGAGGCAGCAGCGGGGAAUAUUGCACAAUGGGCGCAAGCCUGAUGCAGCGACGCCGCGUGAGGGAUGACGGCCUUCGGGUUGUAAACCUCUUUCAGUAGGGAAGAAGCGAGAGUGACGGUACCUGCAGAAGAAGCGCCGGCUAACUACGUG
rnacentral:rRNA from 1 species